GGAGCAGUGACUCAGUGGUUAAGAGCACUGGCUGCUUUUCCAGGGGAUCUGGGUUCAAAUCCCAGCACCUGCA
rnacentral:tRNA from 1 species